rnacentral:rRNA from 1 species
UUAUCWGGGGGAUAGCCUUUCGAAAGGGAGAUUAAUACCCCAUAAUAUACUGAGUGGCAUCACUUAUUAUUGAAAACUCCGGUGGAUAGAGAUGGGCACGCGCAAGAUUAGAUAGUUGGUGAGGUAACGGCUCACCAAGUCAAUGAUCUUUAGGGGGCCUGAGAGGGUGAUCCCCCACACUGGUACUGAGACACGGACCAGACUCCUACGGGAGGCAGCAGUGAGGAAUAUUGGACAAUGGGUGAGAGCCUGAUCCAGCCAUCCCGCGUGAAGGACGACGGCCCUAUGGGUUGUAAACUUCUUUUGUACAGGGAUAAACCUUUUCNACGUGUGGAUAGCUGAAGGUACUGUACGAAUAAGCACCGGCUAACUCCGUGCCAGCAGCCGCGGUAAUACGGAGGGUGCAAGCGUUAUCCGGAUUUAUUGGGUUUAAAGGGUCCGUAGGCGGAUCUGUAAGUCAGUGGUGAAAUCUCAUAGCUUAACUAUGAAACUGCCAUUGAUACUGCAGGUCUUGAGUAAGGUAGAAGUAGCUGGAAUAAGUAGUGUAGCGGUGAAAUGCAUAGAUAUUACUUAGAACACCAAUUGCGAAGGCAGGUUACUAUGUCUUAACUGACGCUGAUGGACGAAAGCGUGGGGAGCGAACAGGAUUAGAUACCCUGGUAGUCCACGCUGUAAACGAUGCUAACUCGUUUUUGGGUUUUCGGAUUCAGAGACUAAGCGAAAGUGAUAAGUUAGCCACCUGGGGAGUACGAACGCAAGUUUGAAACUCAAAGGAAUUGACGGGGGCCCGCACAAGCGGUGGAUUAUGUGGUUUAAUUCGAUGAUACGCGAGGAACCUUACCAAGACUUAAAUGGGAAUUGACAGAUUUAGAAAUAGAUCCUCCUUCGGGCAAUUUUCAAGGUGCUGCAUGGUUGUCGUCAGCUCGUGCCGUGAGGUGUUAGGUUAAGUCCUGCAACGAGCGCAACCCCUGUCACUAGUUGCCAUCAUUCAGUUGGGGACUCUAGUGAGACUGCCUACGCAAGUAGAGAGGAAGGUGGGGAUGACGUCAAAUCAUCACGGCCCUUACGUCUUGGGCCACACACGUAAUACAAUGGCCGGUACAGAGGGCAGCUACACAGCGAUGUGAUGCAAAUCUCGAAAGCCGGUCUCAGUUCGGAUUGGAGUCUGCAACUCGACUCUAUGAAGCUGGAAUCGCUAGUAAUCGCGCAUCARCCAUG